rnacentral:rRNA from 1 species
GACGUAGGGCGCGAGCGUUGUCCGGAUUUAUUGGGCGUAAAGAGCUCGUAGGCGGCUUGUUGCGUCAGCUGUGAAAACCCGCAGCUCAACUGUGGGCUUGCAGCUGAUACGGGCAGGCUUGAGUUCGGUAGGGGAGACUGGAAUUCCUGGUGUAGCGGUGAAAUGCGCAGAUAUCAAGCGGAACACCAGUGGCGAAGGCGAGUCCCUGGACAACUCCUGACACUGAGGCACGAAAGCUAGGGGAGCAAACAGG